UGGAAGGACAUUGAAGUAAAAUUGGCACGUGUUGUUCCAUAUCUAAAGGCUGGAAGCCAUUUGGGCAGAGGCAGAAUCUGGGCUCAGAGUCUAGCCCUGCAGGACCCAGUGUGGCAGCUGCGUGUCUCUGGAGCACUGGAGAGGAGGCUACUGCAAAUUAAGAUCUGCUGUAAAGAGCAUCUUCCUGGUUAUUCUCUGGGACGCAAAACCAUGGUGGUAUCUGAUCUCAUCACACUUCUGCCAGGAGGUGAAAUCGAAGAGCCUACAUUCUUGAUGCUCAAUGUCUUCUUCAGGUCAUUUGCCUGAGGACACCUGGGGAUACUGAGCUAUGAAAAGAAAACAUUUGGAAGAUCACUGAUUCCUUCAUGGAGAGGCUGGCUUGGGAAUAGAUGACGUGUCAAAGAUUGGCAUCAACCUUGAGUGCUUCUUUGUGGACUUGAGAUACAGAUAAAAAAAAAAAAACCUCCCUAGAGUGAGGGCUACUUGGGAUACAUGCUAUAUCCCAAGGAGUUCUCAGUUUGAGGUCAGCCCCAGCUCUACAACUCACCAGGAGCGUGCGCGAGGAUGAGGGAGAGACAGCCUGCUCUGGUUCUCUUCAGGGUGACAAUGACACCUGUUGACAGAUGAGAAUUCCAGCCAGGAAUACAGAUUUAGGAAUCAUGUUUCUCACUCUCAUGAUGACAUAGAAGAGAUGCAUCUGAAUCUUUCUGCCAGUGUGUUAAAGCUAUUCUGAUAUUGACUGUAGUUCUGAGCUUUGUCUCUAUCCCACUAAACCACUAACUUCUGGAAAUUACUUGUAGACCAACAUAAGAGGACUCCGUGUGUGGCUCCAUAUGAAUGACUUAUCGUGCCUGUCCAGAGGCAGGGAAAGGAGAAACAAUCUUAUUUGAGAAGGGAGGAUAUCACUGCGGUGGUUGUGAAAUCGUGUUUGGAAGCUAGAUUGCUCUAGACCACUAAGCUCUCUUCAUGUGACAAAGAAACUUCCUAAAAUACUAAAAGCUAAAGGAGAUUGUUAUCUAAGCUUGAGAUGGAAGGUUGCCAGCAGAAACUUGGAGGAUCACAGCCAGUCGCCUGGGAUUGACCACAGGGAGUGGCAGAGGCAGAAGGCAAAAGACCAGUUGCAAUUAUCCAGGUAAAAGAUGGAGGCUGUUGCAAUAAUCCAGAAUCCUGAAUUGAGCCUGUGUUCCCAGUUCCUAGAAACCCUCAAGGUUAUUGGUUUCCUCCUCGCUUAAUAGACCAGUGGAAGAAAUCUACCUCCAGUUCUAUCUUCACAUGAGCAACUGUUUACAGUUUACAAUAUUACUCUGAAAAUCAGUUCUUUUCAAGUUUUAUCUAACACCCACCAGAAGAAACAGAAGAUUAUGAAAAUGGAAUUUGUAAAAGUUCAUCUCCCAACAAUAUGAUAUUUAAUUUUGCUAACUUUUUUUUGAACACUUACUAUAUUGCAGACAAUGGUCAAGUAAAGCAUUUUAUGUGCAUCCUAUCAUGUCAUCAUCACACAGCCCUGUGAGGUAGAUACUAUUAUUAUUAACCACAUUUCACAUUCAAAAAAACUGAGGCUUAGAGAGACUAAGCAAAUUGUCCAAGGUCACACAGCCAUGAAGUGGCAGAGCUGUGGUUAAAACCUAUGUCUGUCUGAUGUUUAAGAUUUUGCUGUUAGCAUUACUUUGAAAUGACAAUAUGAGGGCAUUUUAUGUAUUUUUUGCCCCAAUAUGAUCUGCAGAAACUAUGUAUUUUAAGUACUACAUUUCUUUUAUUUACCAAAUUAUUGUCAGAUAAGAAACCGAAAUAAAAGUUUACAGGGUCUAGGAUUCCUCCAUAAUGAAUGAACUUUGGGGUAUUUCAGUGACAAAUUGGCUUUAACGCGAUCAAAUUCCAUCCUACAACGAAAGUGUGUUAGUUUGUGGUUUCAAGUUUAAAAACAGCACUGUAUUGUCUUCCAGAAAUAUAUAAAUAGAAAUUCAAGAAGUAUUUCAAUGAAUACAGAUAAAAUUAGUUUUGUUAGAACAUCAAAUAUGUGGGUUUCACUUCUUAGCUCAGUUUAGAAACUGUAAUUUCAUUUUUUUUUAGCAGCUGUGGUAAAUUUUGAGAUUUGAAAUUUCAUAUAAUAUAAAUCCUCAUUUAUUGAGCAUUUAAAUUAUAUGCCCAACAAUUUACUGUGUACAUUACUUCACUUGUUCUUAACUAUAACUCUAUAAAAUAUUAUUGUCCUUGAUUUAUAGAUGAAGAUAUUGAGACUCAGUUAAGUAACUUGCUUGAAAUUCAAAAACGUUAACUGUGGAAGGCAGUAUUUGAACCCAGUGUUCAAAACCCCAUGCUCUUUUUAUUAUAUGACUUUAUUUCCUAUUCAGUCUUCAGAAGAUAUAUUGUCUUAUUAGAUUAUUCUCGUUCUCUAAAUAAGUGACCUUGGGCAACUAUCUUUUUCCCUGGUAUUUUCCCCUGCCUUUAAAACAAUGUGAUCAAACUGGAAGUUUUUCCAUGAUCUGUCUUAGCCCUAAAGCUCCUUGGUUCUGUAAUUCCACGAAUAGCCCAUUUCAAAAAUAAUUCUACAGUAAUCAGUGGGACUCCUGUUUUUCUCAUCUUUUUUUUUUUGAAACAGAAAAUUGAAACUUUUAAAUUAGUUUAGUAAAUACAUCUACUAGUUUUUUUCUUUUAUAGUCAUGGUUAUAUUAUUUGGUCCUUCUUAGUUGCAACAUGUUUCCUUGCUGUCAAUUAUAAUACCUCUCAUCAACAAUAGCCUGAAGAAAUAGAUUUGAAUUGCUUUCCCUAAUUUAUAGCUGGAAAACCAGGCUAUGCUGGUAUCUUAAAUUGACUUUCCUGAGGUCACGGGCACUCAGUGCCAAGAAGAGUUGGUACCUACGCAUUUGAAAUUUCUGGAUUUCUGGUCUUACUCUGUACUUAGUCACUCUUUUCUUUCAUUUGGCCCCAUGGUGGGCAAACUACAGCCUACAGGCCAAUUCCAGCCUACCAUCUGUUUUUGCAUGGUCCAUGAACUAAGAAUGGUUAUCACAUUUUAAAAUGGUGGGAAAAAAAGACUAUUUUGUGACAUAAAAAUUAUAUGAAA